UACGUAGGGCGCAAGCGUUGUCCGGAAUUAUUGGGCGUAAAGAGCUCGUAGGCGGUUUGUCGCGUCUGCUGUGAAAACCUAAGGCUCAACCUUGGGCUUGCAGUGGGUACGGGCAGACUAGAGUGCGGUAGGGGUGACUGGAAUUCCUGGUGUAGCGGUGGAAUGCGCAGAUAUCAGGAGGAACACCGAUGGCGAAGGCAGCUUGCUGGGACGGUACUGACGCUGAGACGCGAAAGCGUGGGGAGCAAACAGG
rnacentral:rRNA from 1 species